rnacentral:rRNA from 1 species
UACAGAGGUCUCAAGCGUUGUUCGGAUCCAUUGGGCGUAAAGGGUGCGUAGGCGGCGCGGUAAGUCGGGUGUGAAAUCUUGGAGCUUAACUCCGAAACUGCAUUCGAUACUGCCGUGCUUGAGGACUGGAGAGGAGACUGGAAUUUACGGUGUAGCGGUGAAAUGCGUAGAUAUCGUAAGGAAGACCAGUGGCGAAGGCGGGUCUCUGGACAGUUCCUGACGCUGAGGCACGAAGGUCAGGGGAGCAAACGGG